CCUGGUACUGGCAGUACUUGCCAAAAAUAUAAGAGCAGAUAAAGAGAUCAUAGGUGUAAAAACUGGGAAACGCGAGUUCAAAUAAAAAGCAUAUGCAGAUGACUUAGUGUUAACAGUGGAAGACCCAAAAACCUCACUCCCCAAAGUAAUAGAAAAGAUUCACAAAUUUGGGGAAGUGGCAGGAUUUAAAUUAAAUAGGAACAAAACCAAACUAUUAGUUAAAAUUUUGAAGGAAGAAGAAAAAAGGAAUUAGAGCAAAAUAUUCAGAUAGAAGUCCAUAAAAAAGUUAAGUAUUUGGGGAUAUGGGUAACAUCAAGAAAUAUAAACUUAUACAAAGAUAAUUAUGAAAAAAUUUGGCUUGAGGCAAAAAGAAAUUUAGAAAUAUGGAGCAGAAUGAAUCUCUCAUUGUUAGGAAAAAUAGCAGCGGUUAAAAUGAAUGUGCUGCCAAAAAUGCUAUUCCUCUUUCAAUCAGUCCCAGUAAUUGUGAAAGACGAAUGCUUCAAAAAAUGGCAGAAAGAAAUUUCUAAGUUUAUCGGGGGGGGGGGGGCAAAAGGCCAAGGAUAAAUACAAAAUACUUACAGACAUAAAAGAUAGAGGCAGUUUUGCCCUCCCAGACCUUAAAUUAUAUUAUGAAGCUGCCUGCCUGGUAUGGAUUAGGGACUGGAUGAAGUUGGAAAAGCAAGAAGCAUUAGAAAUGGAAGGACAUGACAAUAGAUUUGGUUGGCAUGCAUAUUUAUGGUAUGGGAAAGGGAAGGUACACAGAAGUUUUUAUAACCAUAUAAUUAGUAAAUCACUAAUGAGUGUAUGGGAGAGAGAUAAAGAUUUGUUAGAACAGAAGACCCCCUUGGUGGCUUUCACCACAUGAAGCUUUACUGCUCAAACCACUUGGAGAGAAAGGAAAGUGGCUUACGUAUGCUGACUUGUUAAAGGACCAAGAAGGAAAAUGGAAACUAAGAGAUUACAACGAAAUAAAAGACCACUUUCAGAGUUGGUUACACU